rnacentral:lncRNA from 1 species
GCUCAACAUUGCUAUCAGACAUUCAUGCACCUGAAAACUGAGUGCACUUUUUUAUAGAUUCUCUAAAGAAUUAUAGAACUUCUUGUGAAUUCGUUAUUUACAGUUAGCAAGUCCUAUUACCUCAGAUAGUUACUUUAUUGGCACUUGGUUGUUUUCAUAUAGCUUAAGCUUCCAAGAAAACCUGUUGCUCUGCAAUUGAAAUUAGCAGAGGUUCAGAUGUCAACUAAUAAGGCAGCAUUGCUUUAAGAAUUACUGUGGCACAUUUCUAUAGAGCCAUUCAUUACUGAGCACUGUGUCUAUCCAAAAAUAAAUUAUAUUUUGUUUGCCUAUGUAUCAUUAUGUUCUGUAUUUCUUGAAGGCUUUCUUUUAGAAUAACUGAUGCAAAGCUGAAAAAUGGAAUGCUGAGAGCAGAGUUGUUGAAAAUUUCACUGAAGUGUGUUGACUUGGCAUACUCUGUAGUGAUUGUUAUUUUGCAACACAAUAAAACAAUGCUGAGAUAGAAGUAUAUGUCUAAGACAUCUGUGGCAUUUUCAGGACUCCAGUUUCAUAGCAAAGAAAAGAUGGAUUAAAUGUGUGCUGAUUACUAUACAGCUGGGACUUUUUAACAAAAUGCCUGCAUACUUGUGGUACACCAAAGAGCUAAACUGUCUUCUCAGAAGCACUUAAACUGUGAAUCUUUGAGUACUCUUACUUGCAGUGAUGAGGUCUCAGCUUUGGUCCCUCAGCAUGCUGGGCUGUAUUCCUUGUGUGGGUGAUGUUUCGAGGAAACACAGGAGCAUCUUUGUGUAUAUUACUGCACCUUUAUACCCGUGUCAUCCAAGGAGCUUGUACCAAAAAUGUUAUCUUUAUGAUGAUGUGACAUAAAUGGUCCUGUGAGAGGUAAGAAUAAUUUUUAUCCUGUAUCUUUUAGCUUCUAAAAUUAAUAUUUUAAUAUUAAAUAA